AUCUCUUCUUGGAGAUUGCUCCUCAUGGAGUUUUUGUGAGCCUAUGAUGUUGUGAGGUUGUUGAGGCACCAGACCAAGCUGCCCCAGCGAAGCUGUGGAUGUCCGAUCCCUGGAGAUGUUCAAGGCCAGGUCGGAUGGGGCCCUGAGCAGCCUGAGAUGCUGGGUGGCAGUCUUGCCCAUGGCAGGGAUUUGGAUCUGGAUGAUUUUUGAGGCUCCUUCCAACCCAAGCCAUUCUAUGCUUCUAUGGUAUCCAGAACAUCAACUGAGUAGGCUCCUAAACAUAUUAAAAUAUGAAAGCAGUUUUUUUAUUUGUCAUUUUCAUCUGUACUGAUGAUAAUGUUCUUUCUAGGAGCUGUAGUUCUUUAGAAAGGUGAUCAUCUCACAAAGAACUUGGUCAUUUCAGAUAAUAAGCAAUAUUCAUAUCAAACCAGUAAUUUUCACUUGAAUGUUCCUCAUCAGCUACUUGAAAUGUUGGCUAGGAAUUUCCUUUUCUCUAAGGAAAAAACAAAAUCAGUUAAGAAACUUCUGAGAGAAUUUUGUACGAAAAGUCUGGGGUUGUUCCUUUUAGGAAGAUAGAAUUGGUAAGCUCUCAGUUCAGAGGAAAAUGGAAAAGAACUGAAGAAGUCCAGCAAGCAGAAAAUGUAUUGCUGGCAUGUUGUAGGGCUUGCUAGAUUAAAAUAAAAAUUUUGGGUUAUCUUCAGUAAUAGACAAAAAUGGAAUGUGGGAGUAUAUUGCUUAGUAGUAGUCUUGUUUCAGAAAGCAGCAAGUCAAAAUAGACAUUUUUUUCUUCUCUGAAAAAUCCUUUCUGGUAAGGAAGAUCGUAAGGAUUAUUCUGGGACUGCUGUGCUUUGUGUGUCUUUACGAUGAUUCCAUCAGACAAAUGUUUUUGUAAGCCAAGGGAACGGUAUCAAUGCCAGCCCAGGCAGUUUUAGUUUACUGCUGUAGUGACUGCUGACUGCAGGAGAGAUGACCUGAAUACAAUUUUGUCUUUAAACAACAGCCUAAAGCGACCUCUGUAGCAAUUUCAAGACUCUAAACUUUCUAUACUCAUCUCGGUAAUUUUGACUUGGAUUAAUACUGUGUAAUCAGAUAAAGGAAGAGUUAAAUGUGAUGUUCUGGAAUGCAGUGAAUGGUAAGGUGGAAUGCCUGCCUAUUAAGGACCCAAAAAUUCAUUGAAGACUAUCUUUCUUUUCAAACCAGCUUGGAAUAUUAGGUAGAAUAAGUAUUGGGGAAGACUGUACUAAAAUAAAAUAAAUUAGAAAUUUAAAUAUGAAUAGUUAUGUGAGUUAUUUGUAAGCAAAGGUAGGCUCGGGAUAUAAUUAGUGCAAAGGUUGGUUCAAACAAGUGUAAUUUUGUAUCAACAUGAUUAUUUACAGAAGUGCAUACUUGAGAAAUAUGAGCAGACUUGAAUAAGUUAAAACAUAUGCAGGUGAUGUCAUAAGAAUUGUCUUAAGAACUGUGUUUAACAUGCACUACCAGCCAAUAUAAUCUCUUGGUGAUAACCUUAACCAAAGGCUGCCCUUGGUUUGCAGUUGCAGUAUGUUUUUCCUGAACAGAACAGUGCUGCCAGGGAAACCAACGUCUUGGAAUAAAAAAAUGCACUAUAUCACCAAAGCAACAAAUACUCUGAAUAUUUUCAAAUUGAAUUAUUUUAAUGUAAAGACAUUGCUACACAUCCUAUCUUUAGCUUGAAAUUAGAUGAUUUAGAAGAAAGAAUGGAUUCAAAUAUACUAUUGUAGUUUAAAUAAACUAGGAGUUUCCAGCUCUCCUAUAUGUUUAAUAUUCUUCUUUGUUCUAAAAGCUUUUGUGUAAUAGGGGUCCACUGGUGACCUUGGAAAAUAAAGGUACUUCUUUU
rnacentral:lncRNA from 1 species